AGAAACACCGGUUCCCUACGAUCACCGAAGUUAAGCAACGUCGAACCAGAUCAGUAUCUAGAUGGGUGACCGCUUGAGAAUACCAGGGGCU